rnacentral:rRNA from 1 species
GUAGCACAAUCACUUGUCCCUUAAAUGGGGACGCGUAUGAAAGGCAACAUGAGAGAAAACCUGUCUCCUAAGGAAUGCCAAUGAAAUUGAACUGCCAGUUCAAAAGCUGGUAUAAAAAAGCAAGACAAAAAGACCCUGUGGAACUUUAAUUAACUGCUUUACAUAAUAAAACCAGUAAUUUCAGUUGGGACAACUUUAGAAAAAAUAAACUUCCUAAUUUUACUAGACUAACUAGUCCAAAACAACCAUGACCCAGUAGUACUGAUUAACGAAACAAGCUACCCCAGGGAUAACAGCGCUACCUUCUCAAAGAGUUCAUAUCAACAAGAAGAUCUACGACCUCGAUGUUGGAUCAGGGUACCCAGACGGUGCAGCAGCUGUCAACGGUUCGUUUGUUCAACGAUUAAUACCCU